rnacentral:snRNA from 1 species
AUGUUGGAUCAUAUAAAUC